GGGGUGCGCAAUAGACUUACCUCCACGUGGUGCACCCUGGGCAACGUUUAUACACAUACGGAAAAGAUGUCUAU
rnacentral:ribozyme from 1 species